CGUGUAGGCGGUUUGCCAAGUCAGGCGUGAAAGCCCCGGGCUUAACCUGGGAACUGCGUUUGAGACUGGCAGGCUAGAGGUUGGAAGAGGAGAGUGGAAUUCCCAGUGUAGAGGUGAAAUUCGUAGAUAUUGGGAAGAACACCAGUGGCGAAGGCGGCUCUCUGGUCCAUACCUGACGCUGAGGCGCGAAAGCGUGGGGAGCAAACA
rnacentral:rRNA from 1 species